rnacentral:tRNA from 1 species
GUCUAUACUUUUUUUAGAAAANUA